rnacentral:rRNA from 1 species
GACGAACGCUGGCGGCGUGCUUAACACAUGCAAGUCGAACGGUAAGGCCCUUCGGGGUACACGAGUGGCGAACGGGUGAGUAACACGUGGGUAAUCUGCCCUGCACAUCGGGAUAAGCCUGGGAAACUGGGUCUAAUACCGAAUAGGACCACAGGACACAUGUCCUGUGGUGGAAAGCUUUUGCGGUGUGGGAUGGGCCCGCGGCCUAUCAGCUUGUUGGUGGGGUGAUGGCCUACCAAGGCGACGACGGGUAGCCGGCCUGAGAGGGUGUCCGGCCACACUGGGACUGAGAUACGGCCCAGACUCCUACGGGAGGCAGCAGUGGGGAAUAUUGCACAAUGGGCGAAAGCCUGAUGCAGCGACGCCGCGUGGGGGAUGACGGCCUUCGGGUUGUAAACCUCUUUCACCAUCGACGAAGGUCCGGGUUUUCUCGGGCUGACGGUAGGUGGAGAAGAAGCACCGGCCAACUACGUGCCAGCAGCCGCGGUAAUACGUAGGGUGCGAGCGUUGUCCGGAAUUACUGGGCGUAAAGAGCUCGUAGGUGGUUUGUCGCGUUGUUCGUG